rnacentral:rRNA from 1 species
UACGGGGGGAGCAAGCGUUGCUCGGAUUUACUGGGCGUAAAGGGCGCGUAGGCGGUCAGCACAAGUCAGUUGUGAAAUCUCCGGGCUUAACUCGGAAAGGUCAACUGAUACUGUGCGACUAGAGUGCGGAAGGGGCAACUGGAAUUCUCGGUGUAGCGGUGAAAUGCGUAGAUAUCGAGAGGAACACCUGCGGCGAAGGCGGGUUGCUGGGCCGACACUGACGCUGAUGCGCGAAAGCGUGGGGAGCAAACAGG